CGGCGGACGGGUGAGUAACGCGUGGGUAACCUGCCUCAUACAGGGGGACAACAGUUAGAAAUGGCUGCUAAUACCGCAUAAGACCACAGUACUGCAUGGUACAGUGGUAAAAACUCCGGUGGUAUGAGAUGGACCCGCGUCUGAUUAGGUAGUUGGUGAGGUAACGGCCCACCAAGCCGACGAUCAGUAGCCGACCUGAGAGGGUGACCGGCCACAUUGGGACUGAGACACGGCCCAG
rnacentral:rRNA from 1 species